UUGCUUCAGCAGCACACCUACUAAAAUUGGAAUGAUUAGUGUGGUCCCUGCGCAAGGAUGAUACACAAAUUCAUGAAGUCUUCCAUAUUUUU
rnacentral:snRNA from 1 species